rnacentral:tRNA from 1 species
GCCGGAGUGGCGAAAUUGGUAUACGCACCAGACUCAAAAUCUGGCGUUCGCAAGGAUAUGUCGGUUCGAGUCCGACCUUCGGCA